ensembl:snRNA U1 U1 spliceosomal RNA
AUAGUUAUUUAACACGGGAAAUACUGUAAUCAAGAAAGUGGUUAUCAUGAAGGCUUAUCCAUUACACUCCAGAUGUGCUGAACCCUGAGAUUUCCCCAAAUGUAGGAAACUUGACUGCCUAAUUUGUGGUAGCAGGGGGACUGCAUUUGUACUUUCCCCAG